AUUGAACGCUGGCGGCAGGCCUAACACAUGCAAGUCGAACGAGUGGCGGACGGGUGAGUAAUGUCUGGGAAACUGCCUGAUGGAUGGGGAUAGCUACUGGGAACGGUAGCUAAUACCGCAUACACUCGAAUAGGCCCAAAUGGGAUUAGAUAGUGGGUGGGGUAAAGGCUCACCACGGCGACGAUCCCUAGCUGGUCUGAGAGGAUGACCAGUCACACUGGAACUGAGACACGGUCCAGACUCCUACGGGAGGCAGCAGUGGGGAAUAUUGCACAAUGGGCGAAAGCCUGAUGCAGCCAUGCCGCGUGUAUGAAGAAGGUCUUAGGGUUGUAAAGGACUUUAAGCGGGGAGGCGUUACCCGCAGAAUAAGCACCGGCUAACUCCGUGCCAGCCGCCGCGGUAAUAC
rnacentral:rRNA from 1 species